GUUAUCUUGCAGGUGCUCGGUGGAGAAGAUAAAAGAGGUUCAGAGGUACAGUCUAUCCUUUGCACAAAGGAGGGGGGUCCAGCCCCGUGGGGGCCCUAGCCAGGCAGCCCAUGUCACGACGACCUUACCCACGUGGCAGGGGCCGCUGGCCUCUCUGAGCAUCUGGGGGCUGGGCCCUGUGCUGUCCUGCAUGGCACCCGCUAGUUGAAGUGCAGCCCGUGUGUCCAGGACCCUUAGUGUUGGUUUGACUCAGUGUUGAGUGACUUGGAGGCAAAUAGCCACACAUGUGUGACACCCCCGCCUCUGGUCUAGAAGGACUCGGGGCCUGGAAAGGGCUGUGAUGGGCCCUGGCAGAGCCCUCGGGAGAUGGAACCCGCAGGCCAGCUCCACCCUGGUCACUGCAUGAGGCCACCCUGCACCACCAUGUGGUGUCCCCAGAGAGCCGAGAGUACGCAGCUCAGGAGGGCAUGGACGGCAGCUCCCACCCCCAGCAGGAAGGUGCUUUCCUGCCCUGGGGAGGCUGGGGACCAAGUCUCAGGGGACUGAACUUGUGCUCGCCUGUCCCCAAGGUUCAGAAACCCCGUGGCUGCCUCGGGAAGGGUGUCUUCCUGCACUCGGCCAGGGAGUCUGCAGAAUCUGGAGAACAUAUCACACCCACAGAGCCAGGUAACCAGGCGGGAGCAGAGGAGCCCCUGGGAAUCUGCCUCCAGCCGCUCACUGGACAUUGGCACGUCCCCACCCGCGUCUGACCUUUCAGAAGCCAGCAGGUGGUGGCCGCACCUGGAGAGCUGAUGGCGGGAGUGAAGGGCCCUGCUCUCCCCUUGGGCAUGAGUGUCCCCUGCUCAGGGAGGCCUGGUCCCACGAGCCUGACCCAAGGGCCACUCCCGCCACAGCUGGUGUGGAACCUGGUCUUUCAUCCUCCUGUCCCCACCCUCCAGACAUUCAAAGAAAACCUUUUCUAACCUGGUUUCCAGAGCUGUGUGGAAGGUGGUAUGUGGGCAGGCACACACACGUGCAUGCACGCACACGCAGUGUACACACACACACAUGCACGCACAUGCCUGCACACAGGCCUCCCAUCUCCUCACCUUCGUUGCAAACCCCAAAUUGCCAAGAUUCAGACUGUGGAGCAGGUAGAAAGCUGAAGCCGGAAGGAGUGUUUGCGGAGUGAUGGUAGAUGCUUGGGGCAGGGGCGCUGUGAUUAGGUCCCCAGAGAGUGCACGCGGGCAGCAGAGGAAACAACUCUGUUUGGCUUUGAACUUUCCCUAAAGAGGUAGACACAUGCUCCAGGUCCUGUGCAGGGUGAGGACGCAAGAAGCAGGUGACACCCCGCGCCCCCACCCACUCCAGGCACCGGGAGGGAAGGAGCAGGUCCUGCACACUCAGCUGAGCCACUGUCACAAGACAGACUCGGGCCACAGGAAAGUGACUCUCCCCUCCCGGACCCAUCCCUGGGAUUUCACAUCAAGGCCCCUCAAUUUCAGCCCAGAGCCAUCCUGGUUCCCUGCCAGUGCUCACCCUCAUGAGCGGAGCUGGAAGAGCCUGGCGGGGUGUCCGCUGGGGGCCAUGGCCAAGGCGCUCUCCUGCAACAGCGCCUGCUCAGGGCGCAGGUGACUUCACGUUUUAAUGGAUCCCGAAGCCUGGGUCCGGGGGUUGAGCCCUUCCAGCACCGUUGCUCCAGAAGCCGGAGGUGACCUGGGCGGUGCCCUCCCAGAGCUUGUUUUCAGGCAGAGAGUUGCUGAGAUGAUCUUGGAUCUGCUGUUGACCCCAGAAAAUAGCCGGGACUAGAGAAGAUUGAAAAGAGAGGGAAAUGAACUUAGGAGGGGGUCAGCAAUGCUGCUUCCUGGGACCACAGCCCGAGGGGCCCUCCUGACCCACAUCCUGAGAGCCACCACCUCCUCCUGUGAACCGUCUCCACCACCGCCACACUGGGUAGAGGGCACCGUGAACAUGAAAUCACCUUCUAAUCACCAGCCGCUGCUCCAGCACACAGGAUGCACACAGAUUGCACACAGGCUGCAUGCAGGCACACAGGCUGCAACAGAAGAAAAGCAAUUCAAGUGCAAAACUAAAGCCAGCUCUUCCGGGCCUUUGUGCGGAUUCUUUGUGUAAAUGAGCACCGCAUGUCCGGCUGUUUCCACAGGAAGAUCAGGCUUCCAGAACCACACGUGCGCUGGACCUGCCGACGCUGACGGGAGGAACAACGGCCUGCCAGCAAGGCGAGCUCGCGGCCGCCCCAGGCCUGUCAGCACCCAGAGAGCACAAACUCUGGAUCCUCCAUCCCGCCAAGCAGAGGGAUGCAGGUGCCCAGCUUCCUCCCUGAUGUCAGCUGGAAUCCAGCCCAUUUGAAAGCAGGACCCAAAGGAAGUAGGAUCGUUAAGCCCAAAGGUGUCCUUGUCACCGUCCAGACGGAAGCAGAAUCAUUUCCACGGAAAGUCCAGGAGGUGGUCCCUGCCCCCGCCCAUGCAGGGCCCUCAGGCCAAGGACAGGGACGCUGCCAGGAGUCCCCUGAUGAGGGGAGGUCAGGCCGGGGUUGGGGGUGCCCAGGUGGGUGGAGGGACAGUGGGCGAGCCCAUGGGGGGACCCUGAGUCCUAAACCCCCUUCUGUGCUCCAAGCCCUGCCUGUGGCAGCAGAAGAUUCCGGGUGGCACAUCAUGGUCUUGCCCUUUCUCAGAGGAGGUCCCAGAGGCAAUGGGGGUGGGGGGGCAUGCCCGGGUUGGGCUCCACGAAGCAGCACAGCCUUCCAUGUGGAGCCACCCUUCCGGAAGGACCGUGACAUGGUGUCAACAAGGGCAGCAGGCGACUGCAUGACCAGGGCCACGUGCAUCUCCCGUGUGCUGCCUGCAGGUCGCCCAGGACGACAGUGCAAUCGUAAUUCCCUCCCUACAGAUGAGGAAACAGGUUUUGGAGACAGAGUCACCCAUGCGGCCCAGAGAUCGAAGUGCUGGAAUACACCUUGGUCCAGGCCCUGGACUCUUGGCCUGCGCUUUUUCUCUGAAUCUGGCUUUUAAUCUGUAGAAUAAGAUAAAAGCUACCUAUGUUAUAGAAUUCUCAUAAGGAUUGGGUGGAUUAUAUAUGUAGAAGCAUUCUGUAAAAUGAAAACAUGUUUUUCAAACAUUGGUAACCACGAAUCAACUAAGUGUGCAAAAGUGAUCUGGUCUGGGGAGAAAAAAAGCAAAGAAAGCCAGGGAGGAACCCAGUCUAGAUCUCUCAGCAGCCAGCCCUCCCCUCUCCACCUGGAACCUCCAGUUUAGGGGUCCCCAACUCAUGCUUUCAGGGCUCGCUAAAGUCAAGGCUUAGUCAUCGAGUUUCUUGUGCAAGGAGCACUGGACUGACUCAUGCAGAACUGCUGUCCUUCACUCUGUCCCAAGUUGGUUCCCAUCUCAGAAACCAGGGCUGCUACUCCUAGGAAACACCCCAUUCGCUCUACAGUCCUAUCCUAAGAACUUUCAAAUUCUAUAAUUUAUUCUCGCUUUAGUUCUAGGUUUUCUUUAUGAAGUUUAAAUGGAUUCAGAGCAUUAGCCAAUGUAAUUCCUGUCCCAAAAGUUUUUUGUUUUUUUUUUUUUUAAGCAGAAAACUGAAUCUAAUGAAGUGAGUUAAUUUAGCAUGAGGUGACCACAGGAGGAAGGACUAGUUCCUAACGCCUUGGCAAGGGGAGUGGCCGGCCCUGCAGGAGGGACCCCCGGGGCCGAGGAAUGAGGAGGUCACAGGGCAACUGCCAGCAUUAUUCCAGGUCCAGAUCCAGCGUCAGCACAGAGCCACGCAGAGGCCUCCACGGCCCCUCGGAGCUGGGCCCCUGGCCUUGCGGGAUUAAAACAGAGCCACAGAGCCUGCAGUACUGGACACUCCCCGGUGCCCGGCGGACAGUGAAGGAUCCCAGAGCCCGGAGAAAUCCAGCUGACAUUUCCCAGGGAGAUAAGCGAGGAGAGGCUUUGGGGAGCCUUCAAAGAGCGCACACUCCAGAAGUUUCCCAAUCACCCCAAAGAUAAAACACGAAAUCUUGAGAAGUCUGAAUUCCUGCUUAGCUUUAUCAAGGCAACUGACUUAAGACAAAGAGGCCGUUCAGCAGCUUGGGAAAGGCUGCUGCUCCUCUUUAGCUCUGUGGCUUCUGAAGUUUUCUUUCAGGUCCGAAUCCGCAGGGACAAACAGUUCCUCCCCUCAAAGGCACGUUUGACAGCAACUGGCCCACAGCUUCGGGGCUUCCUCUGCUUCAAGGCAAUAGUGCCUGAUGCUGGGUGUUUGGAAAUGGAAGGGGCACCAGCCUGCACUGCUACCCGAGCCCUCACCCAGGGGUUGGGGGGACCAUCCAUCAGCCCCCCACAGCAGGAAGGACUGCCUUUCUGUGAUUUGGUGCUGUGAGCGAGAAAGCCUGGCUUCACGGCCCGCUGGUCUGCACAGCGGUGCACUUACAACCCUCAUUGCAAAGGCUGCACCGGCCCUCAUUUACGACACAUUAACACUGUCUUAGGAAGGUGGUCCUCAUGAAAAACUAAAAACUCUUCCUCUGGAGUUUCCAUAAAAAAUCAUUGUAGAAACUGUAAAGAUUAAAAUCUUAAACAUCUGACUCUCAACCCAAGAUGUGGGUGAACUUCCAGACCUACACGCUGUGGACGUUGGCUGAGACACGGAGGGGACUUGGGGACAGAAAGUUACAGAAGUGCCUGCCUCUUGAACACUUGACUUCUGAGACCAUGAAAUCCUGGGCCUUCAGAGGCCCUAGAAGCUGCCCUGAGCAUGAUCAGAGCACCACAGUCACCGCCACCUUCACAGCAGUGUCCCCGAGCACUCACAGGCCAGAUCCCACACCAGGUGACUCACCAGCAUCAGCGCAGUUAACCCAACAGGAAACCUGUGAGGCCAGCUCUGAGAUUUUGCCCUCUUUAAAGAGGAGGAAACUGAGUCUCAGAGUCAAGGAAAUGGCCCAAGUUUGCAAACCUGAGACGUCCAUUUGGACUGCCCCACUGUGUGCUCGAUACCCUGUCCCUGUGCUCCACGGAGACAGAGACCCAACUCAAACCAGCAUAGGAGUUUGCUGGACUCAGCGUGGGAGGAGGAGGGCGCCCCGACCCAGGUCCUGAGCUGGAGAGGAGCCCAGGCUGGCAAGGCGGCUGCAGAGGGCACCGCACACCCGCCUCCCAGCGCCCUGGCCUCCUCACGGCUCAGAGCCCACGAGGAAAGAGGACCAGACCUGACCCACACUGGUUGUCUGCGCAGGCGGCCGGGAGAAGGCCUUUCAGGAGGCCAUUCAGAAGGGGCGUGCCAGUGUGACAACAGUGCCCGGAGCUGGUCGGAGGUAUUGACGCAUGGCGAGUUGGGACCUGGCCUUCCCGCAGACUUACAGGCCGCGCUCUUCUGUUUUCAGAGGCCAACUUAGUGCAUUUAAAUGGGGGAAAGAGGGAGAGGGAGAGAACGCCUGGAGCAUUUUUUCCAACCUAAGAGACUGUAGCCCAUGAAGGGCUCCGCAGGGCGGACACGCGUUUCCUGAGCCAGAGACCUCGCCACUCGCUCCUUUAACCUGAGGAUGCCGUGACUCCAUGAGCCUCUGUGCGUGCACUGAUAAAAUCCCCAGAACACCGGGAACCGGUCCGCGGGUGUCCCCCUUCCUUCCAGUCCUUCCAGGGGCCCUUAUCUACUGCUGACCUUAAAAAGGUAACAUUGUUGCCGCAGCUUAAUCAUGCCCAAACCCUGUUGGCAGAAAUCUGUAAGCAAAGAUCCAGAACAGCUCAUGUCAACUGCUCAGACUCGGAAACAUACCGAUUCUUUUAAGUAGCAACGAACAGAUCUCAAAUUUUAUUCAAGGAUCCAGUUACUCAUCAAUCUCUAGCCAAAUAUUUUGAGAUGGAACUCACCUUACAUCAGAUUGUCCACUAGAAGUUCAAACACUUCAGUGCAGGUACUGGAGGGGAACACUGCUGGCCUAAGAAACUUUAAAAAUGAAGGAAGUCUGUGGGACCAAAAGCAAAAGAAGUCACACGCACCUUCCAGGGGGAACUGCUUUCCGUGGGGUCUCGGUUGGCUGUUCUGGAGCUGCUGUAGCCUGGAGCUGCUCAGCUUAGGACUCAACAGCAGCUGGCGGGAGCCAGCAGGGGGCUGGAAGUUGGGGGCUGGGGGCUGAAAGAGGGGACCCUGAACGUGCGGAUGCUGCUGGUCACUCAGGGGACGCCUAUGGGGGCCGAGGGGUUGGACACAGAAGCACCCCAGUCACCCCCAGACCUCGGUGUUAAAGACCGUCUCCAGGGUCCAGGCCAGGGUCCGGGUUUGCUGGAGAAAUGACUGAUUCUACAACUCAGAAGGUUCUGGCGCCUCUCUAUGGCCAGACCGUCCCACGAGCAUGCCAGGUGCUCGGCUGAGGACUGCUUUGGUUCUGCACAGUGUGGUCUGGAACCCUCUCUGCCCCUCGGUUUACUCUGUGGGACGGGGGACAACGCCACACCUCACAUUGUUGGGAGAAAUAAACUGCCCAACGUUGAACGUAGUUAGAACAGUGCCUGCCACACAGGAAGCAAACGCUCCGUGUGAGCUGUGCCUGUUACUGGUGUUACUUUGCUUUUGUUUUGUUUUUCAAGCUUAAAAUUAGCAUGCUAUUGAAAACUGUGGUCUUUGCAGGGAACUAUAUCCAGUCUCUUGGGAGAGACCAUGAUGGAAGAUAAUAUAAGAAAAGGAACGUAUACAUACGUGUGACUGGGUUAUUCUGUUGUACAGCAGAAAUUGACAGAACACUGUACAUCAAUGAUACUUUAAAAAUGUAAAAAAUACUUUAAAAAGAAAA
rnacentral:lncRNA from 1 species